GGUUCGGUGGUGUAGUUGGUUAUCACGUCAGUCUAACAUCGGUCAGUUCCAAAACUGGUUGCAGUACACUGAAGGUCGGGAGUUCGAGCCUCCCCUGAAUCA